rnacentral:rRNA from 1 species
UACGUAGGGGGCAAGCGUUGUCCGGAAUCAUUGGGCGUAAAGCGCGUGUAGGCGGCCCGGUAAGUCCGCUGUGAAAGUCGGGGGCUCAACCCUCGAAUGCCGGUGGAUACUGUCGGGCUAGAGUGCGGAAGAGGCGAGUGGAAUUCCUGGUGUAGCGGUGAAAUGCGCAGAUAUCAGGAGGAACACCAAUUGCGAAGGCAGCGCGCUGGGACGUGACUGACGCUGAGACGCGAAAGCGUGGGGAGCAAACAGG